GAAAUAUAUGUACCCAGUGAGCGAGAAUGCUGCAUGGUCACCCCCUGUGAUGUAAAAUAUGAGAAUCUAGGAGGGGCUGUUUUAUAAUUCAUCAGGUUCCGCUAGUGAGUUCUGUCAGAGUCUUAGUUAUAAAGGCAAGUGUGAACCGGACAGCAGACAGGAGAACCUGGCACCAAGGAGACGGAGAAGCUGCCUUUGGUGCCUCCUGCCUCCUCCCUGCUUUGUUCCAAUAAUUUUGUGCUCGAUUACGCUCGAUUUGAGGCCAAAAUCCAUGACCUACGAGAGCAGAUGAUGAACCACAGCAUGAGCUCCGGGUCCGGAUCCCUGCGAACCAAUCAGAAACGCUCCCUCUACGUCAGGUAGGCAAUGGAGUAUUUCUCUAUCUGCACUUUGUGAGCAAUUCAACUUGAGAAAACAAAGGCAACACCAUGUAGCAACAGAACAUGUGUCCCACUUAACCCAUGUUCAUCAGUACACUACUGAAAGACCUUGUGUUUAAGCAUUUGGAAUAAAUGUUUGAAAUGUUAUUAGAUUAAAUUAGUUAAAGGUGCCUGCUUUUAUCAAGUUAUUCUUUGGCAAAGUUAUGAUUCAGGAUAAAGUGCUCAGCAUAGGUUGCAAUAAAAAUAAUGAGAAGAAACAUUUUCAUUUCUAAUAAAUCUUAAAUGGCAUAUGUGGACCAAACCCUUGGACAUUUGCU
rnacentral:sRNA from 1 species